rfam:Xenopus laevis strain J chromosome 4S, whole genome shotgun sequence.
GUGGUUACAGCUCAGAAGUAUAUCAUUUGACUGCAGAUCAAGAAGUUUCUGGUUCAAAUCCAGGUGUCCCCU